CAACGCUGGCGGCGUGCCUAACACAUGCAAGUCGCGCGCGAAAGGGGGGCAACCCCCAAGUAGAGCGGCGAACGGGUGAGUAACGCGUGGGUGAUCUGCCUCCGAGUGGGGAAUAACAGCGGGAAACUGCUGCUAAUACCGCAUGACAUCCUCGAGUCACAUCGAGGAUCAAAGCCGGGGACCGCAAGGCCUGGCGCUUGGAGAUGAGCCCGCGUCCGAUUAGCUAGUUGGCGGGGUAACGGCCCACCAAGGCUCCGAUCGGUAGCCGGCCUGAGAGGGCGGACGGCCACACUGGGACUGAGACACGGCCCAGACUCCUACGGGAGGCAGCAGUGGGGAAUUUUUCGCAAUGGGGGAAACCCUGACGAAGCAACGCCGCGUGGAGGAUGAAGGCCUUCGGGUCGUAAACUCCUGUCGACUGGGAAGAAAGCACAACGACCUAAUACGUCGAGGUGUUGACUGUACCGGUGGAGGAAGCCACGGCUAACUCUGUGCCAGCAGCCGCGGUAAUACAGAGGUGGCAAGCGUUGUUCGGAAUUACUGGGCGUAAAGGGCGCGUAGGCGGUCUGCCAAGUCCCGUGUGAAAGCCCCCGGCUCAACCGGGGAACGGCGCGGGAAACUAGCAGGCUUGAGUUCGGGAGAGGGAAGCGGAAUUCCGGGUGUAGCGGUGAAAUGCGCAGAUAUCCGGAGGAACACCGGUGGCGAAGGCGGCUUCCUGGACCGACACUGACGCUGAGGCGCGAAAGCUAGGGGAGCAAACGGGAUUAGAUACCCCGGUAGUCCUAGCCCUAAACGAUGAGCACUGGGUGUAGAGGGUAUGGACCCCUUCUGUGCCGAAGCUAACGCAUUAAGUGCUCCGCCUGGGGAGUACGGUCGCAAGGCUGAAACUCAAAG
rnacentral:rRNA from 1 species